rnacentral:tRNA from 1 species
CGCUUUAGCUCAGUCGGUAGAGCAACUCAUUCGUAAUGAGUAGGUCGCGGGUUCGAGUCCCGUUCGCG